GAUGAAGAACGCAGCGAAAUGCGAUAAGUAAUGUGAAUUGCAGAAUUCAGUGAAUCAUCGAGUCUUUGAACGCACAUUGCGCCCUCUGGUAUUCCGGAGGGCAUGCCUGUCCGAGCGUCAUUGCUGCCCUCAAGCACGGCUUGUGUGUUGGGCCCCGCCCCCCGAUCCCGGGGGGCGGGCCCGAAAGGCAGCGGCGGCACCGCGUCCGGUCCUCGAGCGUAUGGGGCUUUGUCACCCGCUCUGUAGGCCCGGCCGGCGCUUGCCGAUCAACCAAACUUUUUUCCAGGUUGACCUCGGAUCAGGUAGGGAUACCCGCUGAACUUAAGCAUAUCAAUAAGCGGAGGA
rnacentral:misc_RNA from 1 species